UACCCUUGACAUGCCUGGAAUCCUGCAGAGAUGUGGGAGUGCUCGAAAGAGAGCCAGGACACAAGGUGCUGCAUGGCCGUCGUCAGCUCGUGUCGUGAGAUGUUGGGUUAAGUCCCGCAACGAGCGCAACCCUUGUCAUUAGUUGCUACGAAAGGGCACUCUAAUGAGACUGCCGGUGACAAACCGGAGGAAGGUGGGGAUGACGUCAGGUCCUCAUGGCCCUUAUGGGUAGGG
rnacentral:rRNA from 1 species